rnacentral:lncRNA from 1 species
GCUCUGAGUCUCUUCUGUUCCCUGGGAGCUGUGGGCGCAGAAAGAUUUCUAAACAGAGAAGUUACUCAGGACUGCAGUGUGGACUUCUUCUUCUUCUCUUCCUGGAUUGGUCACAUCUUCCUCACUGAUCUGCUCUUGUGAUUGGACAGUCCUGGAUUCAAGUCGACGCCCACCAUGACCUGCUGACAUCAUUACCCCCUC